ensembl:snRNA U6 U6 spliceosomal RNA
CUGCUCACUUUGGCAGCACAUAUACUAAAACUGGAGCGCUACAGAGAAGGUUAGCGUGGCUCUUGUGCAAGGUGACACUCCAGUUCGUGAGGUGUUCCAUAUUUUU